rnacentral:rRNA from 1 species
AACGUAGGAGGCAAGCGUUAUCCGGAUUUACUGGGCGUAAAGCGUGUGCAGGCGGCUGAAUAAGUUGUGCGUGAAAGCUUCAGGCUAAACCUGAUGAGGCCGUGCAAGACUGUUCAGCUAGAAUCCAUCAGAGGCAAGCAGAAUUCCAGGUGUAGUGGUGAAAUGCGUAGAGAUCUGGAGGAAUACCAGAGGCGAAGGCGGCUUGCUGGGGUGGAAUUGACGCUCAGACACGAAAGCAUGGGGAGCGAACGGG